CAUUUUUUAUUUUAUUUUAUUUUUACUACUCUAUUAUUGUUUUUUCUCUAAUCGACUAUAAAAACUAGGUAAAACUAUGCAUAAUAACUGGUGGUUAUAAUGUUAGCAACUUUUGUUUUUUCGUCAAACAUUAGUUCUCCAGCUCUCGCUACCGUUGUCAGUCACUUGCAGACGUUUGGAGUGCAUUAGGUCGAAUCAUAGAAUAUUAAAAUAUAAACGAAUAAUCAAACUACACAAAAUCAUAAACAUGUAUUAGCCCGUAAUAUUUUCAAAAAGAAUAGUACGAUUUCGAAUACUUGACACUACUUGUUCAGGACAUGGGGAAAGAGUGUAACGUCCUGUGGAAAAAAAAAAAAGUACGCCUGGUCACCCCGUAAAUAUAUUAUUGUAAUUAACAAUCGCAAUUGCGGUUCGAAAUUCCGAACAGAUUACAAUGAUUGUCUCGUCGCGAUAUUCGCGCCAUCGGAAC